UUACUCACCCGGUCAUUGGGCAGCCAGGCCCUCUCGCCUACCAUGUGGUGCUCAUUUUCCUGCCUCAUUUCAGGUGGAGAGCACAGCUAGAGAGAACCGCGAGGCUGUUGAACGCAGCGGAGCCGAGAUUCUUCCAAAAUUCCCAGAAAGGCGACACAGAGGCCGGCCGCGGAAGAAAUCGGCCUAACUUGAGCAGCUCUGAACCCCAUCACCUCAGCGAGCAGGCGGUUCAAUGGUUCUGUCUCUGGUGCUAUCAUAUGUCAUACAGCUCCUGGAAAACCUCACUGGACACCCAGAGAGAAUGUGACAAGAUAAGGAACGUCUUGGCAUUACUAUGAAAACAGCUUGGACGUCCCAGGCUGCCUCUAAGAGUCUUGGGAACCCCAGGGGCCCCCAGUUUGAGAACCCCUGGAUUAGGAGGUUGGAAGGCGGAGUUCUCUCCGCGGUGAAGCAGGCCACCGCGUUGCCGUUUGGCUGAUGCCUUAUAGCACACAACUAUAGUAUCUUCCUGCUGUGGGUUGAAUUAUGUGCCACCAAAUUCAAAUGUUGAAGCUGUAAUACUCAUUACCUCAGAAUAUGACCUUAUUUGGAGAUACGGUCAUUUCAUAGGCUAUCAAGUGAAAAUGAGGUUGUUAGGUUGGGCUCUAAUCCAGUAUGACGUAUGUCUUAAUGAAAGCGGAAAAAUUGGAGACUGUCAUGUGAAGACAAAUGUAGACUGGAAAGUUGCUUAAGUCAAGGAACAGCAAGGACUGCCAGCAAAUCCCAAGAAGUUAGGUCCAUCUUCUUGGAUUAUGCUUGCACAUGUUUUCCCACUGAGGUCCUGGAGGCUGUGAGGUAUAUAUAUAUAUAUGUAUUUCCCUCUGAAUUUCAUUUUGAGGGAAUCCUUUUUUCAUCUUCAAGUUCACUGAUCUUUUCUUCCGCACCGUAUAACCUAUGAUUAUCCAGAAUAUAUUUAGUUUUAGACAUGAUAAUUGUCAUUUCUAGAAGUUUUAUUUAGAUCACUUUUUUAUAUCAUCCAUUUUCUCUUUAUUGUAAUGCUAUCCACUGUCUUCUUCACCAUCUCGAGUAUCGUGGUGCAAAAACCAGCCUUCUGCAAGUGUCUUUUCAUUCCUCUCCAGUGUAUCUUUGAUUAGACUGCUAGAUGGGAAAUUUCUGGGUUAACAGAUAAAUGCAGAUAUUGUUUGGCUACAAAUGACUACAAAUUACAAAAUCACUCUCCAUAAGGGCUGUACUACGAGGACUUAACACCAGCAAUAUAUGAGCAAGCUGUUUUCUCCAAGGUCUCAUUAACAUGCUUCAGAUUGCUAAGAUUUUGUCAACCUAAUUGUAGCUUAAGUUGCAUUGCUGUUAUUCUGAGUGAAGUUGAGCACCUUUCUAUAGAGUAAGAACUCUGCAUCUCUUUCUGGGACUGACCUG